UACGAAGGGGGCUAGCGUUGCUCGGAAUUACUGGGUGUAAAGGGCGCGUAGGCGGCGUGUCAAGUCAGGCGUGAAAGCCCCGGGCUCAACCUGGGAACCGCGCUUGAGACUGGCAUGCUCGAGUUCGGGAGAGGAUGGUGGAAUUCCCAGUGUAGAGGUGAAAUUCGUAGAUAUUGGGAAGAACACCGAUGGCGAAGGCAGCCAUCUGGACCGACACUGACGCUGAGGCGCGAAAGCGUGGGGAGCAAACAGG
rnacentral:rRNA from 1 species